rnacentral:siRNA from 1 species
UGAGAUUCAGCCCUUUGUCGCUAA